rnacentral:rRNA from 1 species
AGUGAACGCUGGCGGUAGGCCUAACACAUGCAAGUCGAACGGCAGCACAGUAAGAGCUUGCUCUUACGGGUGGCGAGUGGCGGACGGGUGAGGAAUACAUCGGAAUCUACUUUUUCGUGGGGGAUAACGUAGGGAAACUUACGCUAAUACCGCAUACGACCUACGGGUGAAAGCAGGGGAUCUUCGGACCUUGCGCGAUUGAAUGAGCCGAUGUCGGAUUAGCUAGUUGGCGGGGUAAAGGCCCACCAAGGCGACGAUCCGUAGCUGGUCUGAGAGGAUGAUCAGCCACACUGGAACUGAGACACGGUCCAGACUCCUACGGGAGGCAGCAGUGGGGAAUAGUGGACAAUGGGCGCAAGCCUGAUCCAGCCAUACCGCGUGGGUGAAGAAGGCCUUCGGGUUGUAAAGCCCUUUUGUUGUGAAAGAAAAGCAGCAGGUUAAUACCCCGCUGUUCUGACGGUACCCAAAGAAUAAGCACCGGCUAACUUCGUG